GACGAACCGUGCAAACGUUGUUCGGAAUCACUGGCUUAAAGGGCGCGUAGGCGGCUCGCCAAGUCAGGGGUGAAAUCCUGGAGCUCAACUCCAGAACUGCCUUUGAUACUGAAGAUCUUGAGUUCGGGAGAGGUGAGUGGAACUGCGAGUGUAGAGGUGAAAUUCGUAGAUAUUCGCAAGAACACCAGUGGCGAAGGCGGCUCACUGGCCCGAUACUGACGCUGAGGCACGAAAGCGAUGG
rnacentral:rRNA from 1 species